rnacentral:rRNA from 1 species
CCUACGUGAGGCAGCAGUGGGGAAUAUUGCACAAUGGGCGAAACCCUGAUGCAGCAACGCCGCGUGCGUGAAGAAGUCUUUCGGUAUGUAAAGCUCUAUCAGCAGGGAAGAGAAUGACGGUACCUGUCUCAGAAUCCGCGGCUAACUACGUGCCAGCAGCCGCGGUAAUACGUAGGGGGCAAGCGUUAUCCGGAUUUACUGGGUGUAAAGGGAGCGUAGACGGCUGGCCAAGUCAGAAGUGAAAGCCCGGGGCUUAACCCCGGAACGGCUGUGGAUACUGGCCGGCUGGAGUGCUGGAGAGGUAGGCGGAAUGCCUGGUGUAGCGGUGAAAUGCGUAGAUAUCAGGAGGAACACCGGUGGCGAAGGCGGCCUCCUGGACAAUAACUGACGUUGAGGCACGAAAGCGUGGGGAGCAAACAGGAUUAGAUACCCGGGUAGUC